GCCGCUCGUCUGAUCGCUCUGAUCGAUCCGGAGCUCCACUGAGCCGCAGGGCUGGAUCACUUCACGAAAGACGCGCUCCUCUGGGUGUUUCGCUCGCCGCAGACCGCUGAGAGUCCACAGGAGCGCAGUCCAGGGGUGUUGAGUCGCAUCGGGAGCUGGCUGUCGUGGGGUUGGGGCAGAGAUGAUCCCACCUCCCAAACACAGCAAGAGGAGGACCACGGAGAAACCAGAGCAGACGAGACAGAUCCCGCAGAGGCGAGCCCAACCCUCGACCGGAAUGCCAAACAUCUGAGACUCGAACGCAGUCAGUCGCUUGAGAGGAAAAGGCCACCUGAACGCUUUGAACAAAUGGGCCGGAGGAGAUCUGGCAGGAGGAGGCGGAGCUCUCACGGGGAUGGGGACGGAGCUAAAUCCCCAACCAAUCCCCAACCUGAAAGCCCUGUAGCAACCAGUUUGACGAGCGGCCCGCGGAAAGCAUGCGCUGACUCAGCUUUUGAGGAGGCGGCAAACAGCCUUCCAGGAGCCUCCGGAGCAGAAGUGCCAAACUCAGGUAAAGGUGAGGAUGUCGUCCGAGAGGAAUGGGCCCAAGCGAGCCUGAGCGAAGACGCUGAUUUGCCGAACUCGCCGGAUUCGCUCGUCCAAGCGGCGCUGGUUUAUUCAGAUAUGGACGAGGAACGGGUGGUGAGGCUGACGGAGAGCGCCGAAUCCAAACGCAGGAGCAUCAAAGUGUCUCACAGCGAGGUGGUCUUCGCUAAAAAGGUGGUGGUCGCCUCGGAGGACCAAAAUGAAGAACAAAAUGUGACUUUUAAAGACACCAAACGGCCUAGAUCUGAUGAAAGAGCAAGAUUUCCAGAGGACAGAGUAGACGGCACCAAUGUAAAGUCCAGUCAUCACAAGGCCCAAAUCGCAGACAAAAUCAGUCUGUUCGAGAGAGGAGCCACCAGUGCAGUUAGUAGCUCUACAAACCUGCUUCGCCUGGAUAUUUCUCCAGCUCGAAAUGUGGCCAGUCGUCUCAGAGAUUUCACAGAACAUGCCGGAACGCGGUCCAGUUCUGCACCUCCAAACCAAACGGUUAAAGAGAGGGCGAAGAAUUUCGGCGCGGGGCGGAGGGGGGAAGAGCAGCUGACGUUGCCGUCUGGUCGUACGUUGAACGAAGGACAUUCAAAAAUGGCUGAAAUAUCUUAUUCUGGACGUUUUGAAAAAUCUACAGCAAAGACGGAUACCAGCGGAGAGCCAAAGGUUAAAUCCAAACCUCAUUUAACUAUAGAUCAAACAGACUCUAAAUCCUACAAUCCAACACCUGCAUUGUCAGAGAGCACAAGUGACUCAAACGUUGGGAAUAAAGAGGCGGAUUCUCUCCCGACAGUUUCAUCACCUACUGAUGAGACACCGCAGGUUAAAUCACCUAACCGGACAGGCACGCGAUUGAAAAAACGUCGAGGCAAAGAUCCGCUGAGCCCCACUAAACAAGAAAUGGGUCAAGGUAAACAGGAGGUCAAGGACAACAAGGACAAACCUCUUGUUGAUGCAAGAGAUGUCGUAAAGACCACAGAGCCGAGCACUUCUAAUAAAGAAAGACCCAACUCUGCUGGGGAGGUCGCAAGCAAAAAACCUACAGUCCCUCCAAAGUUGGAGAAAGCAGCAGAAAUUAUGCAUAGCACAAAGAAAAAAUCUGACUCAAAGAAGACUUCACAUGCGGACACAAAAGUUCCUACAGAAGUGAAAAGCAAGGAUGAGGAGAGAGGGAAUAGCGGUGACUUUGAAGCACAGAUAGUGGCUUCUGAUACACAUCCUUCUAUAUCCAGAAAGAACAGCUCAAAUAAAGAGAAGAUACGGACCGACAUCGACUCAAAAAUGGAAGAGAAACAAAAAAACAGCAACAAAAAGCAGCACUCAGAAGGAGAGAAGGGAGACGAGCAGAGGAACAGAGACUUGAUUGUAAACUCAUUGUUUGGAGAGUCAGGGAAACCAGAUCCAUCUGUGACAAAAGAUGAAAAACCACUGUCCCCAGAGGACCUGAAAGAGGCCAGAUCUAAAGACUCCUCUGAGCCAGCCAAUAGCAGCGCUGCACCCUUUAGGAACGAUGCCAUGCGAAACAGAGGGAGUGAGACGGAUACGCUGGUCUUACCUGAGAAAGACACCAUUGCGUUUGUGUCUAUAGUGGAAAACACCCCUGAAAAUAACCCAAAAUCGGCACAAAGACUGUCAAAGAUGAACCAAAAGAGUCAAGAAAAAGACUGUUUGACUGAGAUUACCAGUCAGAACCAGAAAAACGACCUUGUUACAGAAACAACUGAGACACACAAACAUAAUGAAUUCAAUACAUCAAAGCCAACCGAGCAGAAAGUAGAAGGUAAAACAAAACAAGGUAAAUCGAAGGACACCUCUGCUGUGAGACAGGAAGACACAACAAUUAUGGCAACCAGUCAAGGUAAAGAAGCUCAGACUACUGAGAAAAACUCAUGCGCUGAAUUGUCCGAUCAGACUAAAGAAAACACCACUUCUACAAGCAAGACACCGAAAGGACACCUCUGCUGUGAGACAGGAAGACACAACAAUUAUGGCAACCAGUCAAGGUAAAGAAACUCAGACUACUGAGAAAAACUCAUGCGCUGAAUUGUCCGAUCAGACUAAAGAAAACACCACUUCUACAAGCAAGACACCGGCAACACCAAACCCUGCACUGGACCAAAUGGACAGCAUAAUUUCACCUCAAAUUGCACCUACAGAGGGAGGCGGUCCCAAAAGAGAUGGGCCGCCCCCACGGAGCCAAUCAGAGAGCGGAGAAGAACAGAAGACACAGACGGUAUCUAGUAAAAGGGAUUUACAACAGCAACAAAAGCCUGACACUGAAACUAAAAAUGGAGGCACCAAAGAAACCAAGAGUAAAAUCACCAGCACAGAAAAGACAUCCAAAGUGAAUGGCGAUAUACACUCUGUAGAGACAGGAGAUCAGGUUUCUGACAGUCUUAAGCAGUCUGGAGAAGAAAUACUUGGAAAUACCUUACCUGAAAUACCAUCCAAUAAUGAAAGUCUAUCUCUGAGCUCAUUUUCAUCUGAAGCCACUGAAGCGUCCACCGAGCAGUCUGGCCAGGUCAGUAAAAAGUUUACCGCUAAACCAGCCUCAACAGAUGAUACAGCCUUCAGUUUACCAGCCUCAAGUGAUAACAACAACACAACUUUAUCAAACUCAGCUAAUAAAAAAACAACUAAUGAAAAGACCACUCCCCCAGCAGCCUCACCCAAUGCAACAACCACACCUGAAAAACCAACAACUAUCGAAAAGACCCCACAAGCCUCAACCAAUGAGAAAACCUCCACUUUACCUGCCUCAACUAAAGGAAAGACUACACCUCCACCAGCAACAACAACUGAGACAAUCUCUGCUUCAUUAGGCUCCAGUGAUGACAAGAACAAAACUCUGCCUGCCUCAACUAAUGAAACGAACAAAACUCCAUCAGAGUCAGCUAACAAAAGGAUGACUAUCGAAAAGACCACCUCUCCACAAGCCUCAACCAACGAGAAAACCUCCACUUUACCUGCCUCAACUAAAGGAAAGACUACACCUCCGCCAGCAACAACAACUGAGACAAUCUCUGCUUCAUUAGGCUCCAGUGAUGAGAAGAACAAAACUCUGCCUGCCUCAUUUAAUGAGGUCAUCUCCAGUUUACUGUCCUCAACUAAUGCAAAGACAACACCUCCUUCAGACUCAGCUGAUAGAAAGAGAACUGAUGAAAAAGAUAUGUAUCUACUAGCAUCAACUGAUGAAAAGAUCGCACAAUCACCAGUCUCAUCUAAUAAAAAGAUGGGCCAGGGUGUGCUGUGAUUGGCUAGCUGGGCCAGUGUGUGAUGUGAUUGGCUAGCUGGGCCAGUGUGUGCUGUGAUUGGCUAGCUGGGCCAGCGUGUGCUGUGAUUGGCUAGCUGGGCCAGUGUGUGCUGUGAUUGGUCAGCUGGGUCAGUGUGUGCUGUGAUUUGUUUGCUGGGCCGGUGUGUUGUGAUUGGUUAGAUGGGCCAGGGUGUGUUGUGAUUGGUCAGCUGGGCCAGUGUGUGCUGUGAUUGGUUUGCUGGGCCGGUGUGUUGUGAUUGGUUAGAUGGGCCAGUGUGUGCUGUGAUUGGUUAGAUGGGCCAGGGUGUGUUGUGAUUGGCUAGCUGGGCCAGUGUGUGCUGUGAUGGGUCAGUGUGUGCUGUGAUGGGCCAGUGUGUGCUGUGAUCGGCUAGCUGGGCCAGGGUGUGUUGUGAUUUCUGUUAAAUAAAAUAUCUC
ensembl:lncRNA